rnacentral:rRNA from 1 species
CCUACGGGAGGCAGCAGUGGGGAAUCUUCCACAAUGGGCGAAAGCCUGAUGCAGCAACGCCGCGUGAGUGAAGAAGGUCUUCGGAUCGUAAAACCCUGUUGUUAGAGAAGAAAGUGCGUGAGAGUAACUGUUCACGUUUCGACGGUAUCUAACCAGAAAGCCCCGGCUAACUACGUGCCAGCAGCCGCGGUAAUACGUAGGUGGCAAGCGUUAUCCGGAUUGGUUGGGCUUAAAGGGAACGCAGGCGGUCUUUUAAGUCUGAUGUGAAAGCCUUCGGCUUAACCGGAGUAGUGCAUUGGAAACUGGGAGACUUGAGUGCAGAAGAGGAGAGUGGAACUCCAUGUGUAGCGGUGAAAUGCGUAGAUAUAUGGAAGAACACCAGUGGCGAAAGCGGCUCUCUGGUCUGUAACUGACGCUGAGGUUCGAAAGCGUGGGGAGCAAACAGGAUUAGAUACCCUUGUAGUC